AAGUCCAUCAACGAUCCACACAUUACCACUUUUGAUGGGUGGCACAUUGACAAUUUUUUGGAGGGAGAAUUCAUAUUCUAUAUUUACAAAUCGGGACCAUACGAAGUCCGAACGUUUUAUCGACGUUGCGAUGAGGGAAAUGCCACUUGUAACUGUGCAGUAGCAGUAAAAUCCGGUGAUGAUGUCAUUGUUUUUGACAAAUGUGGACCAACAAUAUCAGUACCAGGAACCUUUAAACCUUUGAAGAUCACGCUAUACCUCAAUGGUCAACUAACUAAAGGAACCAGGAUAUUUUCCUUUGGUGGAGGCCAAAAGUAUAAUGUUUAUCUACCUCAUGGAUCUGUUGUCACGAUUGAGAAUGGCAAGGGAAAUCGUCCGAAUUUCCUCAACAUCUGGUAUAGAACAACGCCAGCUGACUGGAAAAAUUC